rnacentral:rRNA from 1 species
AUUGAACGCUAGCGGGAUGCUUUACACAUGCAAGUCGAACGGCAGCACGAAAAGAGCUUGCUCUUUUUGGUGGCGAGUGGCGAACGGGUGAGUAAUGUAUCGGAACGUACCCAGUAGCGGGGGAUAACUACGCGAAAGCGUGGCUAAUACCGCAUACGCCCUACGGGGGAAAGGGGGGGAUCGCAAGACCUCUCACUAUUGGAGCGGCCGAUAUCGGAUUAGCUAGUUGGUGGGGUAAAGGCUCACCAAGGCAACGAUCCGUAGCUGGUUUGAGAGGACGACCAGCCACACUGGGACUGAGACACGGCCCAGACUCCUACGGGAGGCAGCAGUGGGGAAUUUUGGACAAAGGGGGAAACCCUGAUCCAGCCAUCCCGCGUGUGCGAUGAAGGCCUUCGGGUUGUAAAGCACUUUUGGCAGGGAAGAAACGGCGCUGACUAAUACUUGGCGCAACUGACGGUACCUGCAGAAUAAGCACCGGCUAACUACGUG